rnacentral:pre_miRNA from 1 species
AGUAGAAUGGCUGGAUCAUAUGGUAGGUCUAUUUUUAGUUUUUGAGUAGCCUCCAUAUUGUUUUCCAUAAUGAUUGUACUAGUUUGCAUUCCCAACAACAAU